AUUGAACGCUGGCGGCAGGCCUAACACAUGCAAGUCGAGCGGAGUGGCGGACGGGUGAGUAAUGCCUAGGAAUCUGCCUGGUAGUGGGGGAUAACUUCCGGAAACGGUCGCUAAUACCGCAUACUAUCAGCUCAGCCUAUGUCGGAUUAGCUAGUUGGUGGGGUAACGGCUGACCAAGGCGACGAUCCCUAGCUGGUCUGAGAGGAGGACCAGCCACACUGGAACUGAGACACGGUCCAGACUCCUACGGGAGGCAGCAGUGGGGAAUAUUGGACAAUGGGCGCAAGCCUGAUGCAGCCAUGCCGCGUGUAUGAAGAAGGCCUUCGGGUUGUAAAGUACUUUCGGCGGGGAGGCGGUACCCGCAGAAGAAGCACCGGCUAACUCCGUGCCAGCAGCCGCGGUAAUAC
rnacentral:rRNA from 1 species